GUGUAGUGUUGUUGAAUGGUAUC
rnacentral:siRNA from 1 species